AUGCAGUCGAGCGGAUGACGGGAGCUUGCUCCUUGAUUCACGGCGGACGGGUGAGUAAUGCCUAUGAAUCUGCCUGGUAGUGGGGGACAACGUUUCGAAAGGAACGCUAAUACCGCAUACGUCCUACGGGAGAAAGCAGGGGACCUUCGGGCCUUGCGCUAUCAGAUGAGCCUAGGUCGGAUUAGCUAGUAGGUGAGGUAAUGGCUCACCUAGGCGACGAUCCGUAACUGGUCUGAGAGGAUGAUCAGUCACACUGGAACUGAGACACGGUCCAGACUCCUACGGGAGGCAGCAGUGGGGAAUAUUGGACAAUGGGCGAAAGCCUGAUCCAGCCAUGCCGCGUGUGUGAAGAAGGUCUUCGGAUUGUAAAGCACUUUAAGUUGGGAGGAAGGGCAGUAAGCUAAUACCUUGCUGUUUUGACGUUACCGACAGAAUAAGCACCGGCUAACUCUGUGCCAGCAGCCGCGGUAAUACAGAGGGUGCAAGCGUUAAUCGGAAUUACUGGGCGUAAAGCGCGCGUAGGUGGUUCGUUAAGUUGGAUGUGAAAGCCCCGGGCUCAACCUGGGAACUGCAUCCAAAACUGGCGAGCUAGAGUAUGGUAGAGGGUGGUGGAAUUUCCUGUGUAGCGGUGAAAUGCGUAGAUAUAGGAAGGAACACCAGUGGCGAGGCGACCACCUGCACUGAUACUGACACUGAGGUGCGAAAGCGUGGGGAGCAAACAGGAUUA
rnacentral:rRNA from 1 species